rnacentral:rRNA from 1 species
CUCGUAGUUGGACCUGUGUUCCACGCUGUCGGUUCGCCGCCCGUCGGUGUUAACUGGCAUGUCCUGUGGAACGUCCUGCCGGUGGCGGUCCGGGCGUUAGGCUUGCGUAAAGGCUCACGCCUGAAGCAGGUCGAGCAGUUCCGGCCGCCGGUCCAAUCCCGCCACGGUGCUCUUCACCGAGUGUCGAGGUGGGCCGGCACGUUUACUUUGAACAAAUUAGAGUGCUUAAAGCAGGCUGGUGUCCGCCUGAAUACUGUGUGCAUGGAAUAAUAGAAUAGGACCUCGGUUCUAUUUUGUUGGUUUUCGGAACCCGAGGUAAUGAUUAAUAGGGACAGGCGGGGGCAUUCGUAUUGCGACGUUAGAGGUGAAAUUCUUGGAUCGUCGCAAGACGAACCUAAGCGAAAGCAUUUGCCAAGUAUGUUCUCGUUAAUCAAGAACGAAAGUUAGAGGUUCGAAGGCGAUCAGAUACCGCCCUAGUUCUAACCAUAAACGAUGCCAGCCAGCGAUCCGCCGAAGUUCCUCCGAUGACUCGGCGGGCAGCUUCCGGGAAACCAAAGCUUUUGGGUUCCGGGGGAAGUAUGGUUGCAAAGCUGAAACUUAAAGGAAUUGACGGAAGGGCACCACCAGGAGUGGAGCCUGCGGCUUAAUUUGACUCAACACGGGAAACCUCACCAGGCCCGGACACCGGAAGGAUUGACAGAUUGAGAGCUCUUUCUUGAUUCGGUGGGUGGUGGUGCAUGGCCGUUCUUAGUUGGUGGAGCGAUUUGUCUGGUUAAUUCCGAUAACGAACGAGACUCUAGCCUGCUAACUAGGCGAUUUCCGGUACCCACAAUAGUGUUACCGGCGAUUCAAUUUCUUCUUAGAGGGACAGGCGGCUCCUAGCCGCACGAGACUGAGCAAUAACAGGUCUGUGAUGCCCUUAGAUGUCCUGGGCCGCACGCGCGCUACACUGAAGGAAUCAGCGUGUCUUCCCUGGCCGACAGGCCCGGGUAACCCGUUGAACCUCCUUCGUGCUAGGGAUUGGGGCUUGCAAUUGUUCCCCAUGAACGAGGAAUUCCCAGUAAGCGCGAGUCAUAAGCUCGCGUUGAUUACGUCCCUGCCCUUUGUACACACCGCCCGUCGCUACUACCGAUUGAAUGAUUUAGUGAGGUCUUCGGACUGGUGCGCGGCGAUCGGUUCUGCCGGUCGCCGAUGUUGCCGGGAAGAUGACCAAACUUGAUCAUUUAGAGGAAGUAAAAGUC